AAAUCAAUAUUUCGUACAGGUACAGUAACUGUUUAAAUGUUUAUCGGUGCAAAUCCGAUGCGAUCCCGUCGCCGUAACGGCAAUAAAAGCCGGAGCCGGUCAGCCAGCCUGUAUAAGCAUCACUGC
rnacentral:ncRNA from 2 species